GACGAACGCUGGCGGCGUGCCUAAUACAUGCAAGUCGAGCGGACUUGACAGAGCUUGCUCUGUUCAAGUUAGCGGCGGACGGGUGAGUAACACGUGGGCAACCUGCCCUGCAGAUUGGGAUAACUCCGGGAAACCGGGGCUAAUACCGAAUAACAUUGAAAACCUCAUGGCUUUCUUUUAAAAGGCGGCUUCGGCUGUCACUGCCGUAUGGGCCCGCGGCGCAUUAGCUAGUUGGUGAGGUAACGGCUCACCAAGGCGACGAUGCGUAGCCGACCUGAGAGGGUGAUCGGCCACACUGGGACUGAGACACGGCCCAGACUCCUACGGGAGGCAGCAGUAGGGAAUCUCCCGCAAUGGACGAAAGUCUGACGGAGCAACGCCGCGUGAGUGAAGAAGGUUUUCGGAUCGUAAAACUCUGUUGUUAGGGAAGAACAAGUAUCGGAGUAACUGCCGGUACCUUGACGGUACCUAACCAGAAAGCCACGGCUAACUACGUGCCAGCAGCCGCCGCGGUAA
rnacentral:rRNA from 1 species